rnacentral:tRNA from 1 species
AUUUCUAUAGUGUAAUAAACACAUAAUUUUUUCAUAAUUAAAAAGAAACAUAUUCUAGAAAUG